rnacentral:miRNA from 1 species
GUUGGCCAAAAAGUUUGUUUGGGUUUUUCCGUGACAUCUUACGAAAAACUUCAUCUUACGCAUAACCCAAACAAACUUUUUGGCCAACCCA